rnacentral:miRNA from 1 species
AGCAAUGAAUGGCUCGGUGGCA